CAGUGCAUCAACAGCCACUAUGUACACAGCAGCUUCAGGAAAGGGGCUACAACUAAUGUAUUUGUAAUAUGGCUCUUUAUGUGCCUACCAUGGUGACUAUGGGAAAUGGGGAAUCAGGGUUCAAUUGCAGAGAGGGAGCCUAAGAAACUGCUACCACAUCCAAAGAAAGCAGCAGGCAAAUUACCCACUCCUGACUUGGGCAGAGAGUGA
rnacentral:ncRNA from 1 species